CGCUGGCGGCGUGCUUAACACAUGCAAGUCGAACGAGAGGAGAAGGAAGCUUGCUNUUCAAAUCUAGUGGCAAACGGGUGAGUAACACGUAAACAACCUGCCUUCAGGAUGGGGGACAACAGACGGAAACGACUGCUAAUACCGAAUACGUUCCUUAGGUCGCAUGACUUUAGGAAGAAAGGGUGGCCUCUACCUGUAAGCUAUCGCCUGAAGAGGGGUUUGCGUCUGAUUAGCUAGUUGGUGAGGUAACGGCUCACCAAGGCGACGAUGCGUAGCCGACCUGAGAGGGUGAUCGGCCACAUUGGGACUGAGACACGGCCCAGACUCCUACGGGAGGCAGCAGUGGGGAAUAUUGCACAAUGGGGGAAACCCUGAUGCAGCAACGCCGCGUGAGUGAUGACGGUCUUCGGGUUGUAAAGCUCUGUCUUCAGGGACGAUAAUGACGGUACCUGAGGAGGAAGCCACGGCUAACUACGUG
rnacentral:rRNA from 1 species